rnacentral:rRNA from 1 species
CAUGCAGUCGACGAGUCUUCGGACUUAGUGGCGGACGGGUGAGUAACGCGUGAGAAUCUGCCUUCAGGAUGGGGACAACAGUUGGAAACGACUGCUAAUACCCAAUAUGCCUACGGGUGAAACUUAUUUGGCCUGAAGAUGAGCUCGCGUCUGAUUAGCUAGUUGGUGGGGUAAGAGCCUACCAAGGCGUCGAUCAGUAGCUGGUCUGAGAGGAUGAGCAGCCACACUGGGACUGAGACACGGCCCAGACUCCUACGGGAGGCAGCAGUGGGGAAUUUUCCGCAAUGGGCGAAAGCCUGACGGAGCAAUACCGCGUGAGGGAGGAAGGUUUUUGGAUUGUAAACCUCUUUUCUCAGGGAAGAAUUUUGACGGUACCUGAGGAAUAAGCAUCGGCUAACUCCGUGCCAGCAGCCGCGGUAAUACGGCGGAUGCAAGCGUUAUCCGGAAUUAUUGGGCGUAAAGAGUCCGUAGGUGGUCAUGCAAGUCUGCUGUCAAAGCCCACAGCUUAACUGUGGAUCGGCGGUGGAAACUGCAUGACUUGAGUACGGUAGGGGGUAGAGGGAAUUCCCAGUGUAGCGGUGAAAUGCGUAGAUAUUGGGAAGACACCGGGUGGCGAAGCGCUCUACUGGACCGUAACUGACACUGAGGGACGAAAGCCAAGGUAGCGAAAGGGAUUAGAUACCUCCUGUAGUCUUGG